rnacentral:lncRNA from 1 species
GAUGUAGAUUAAACUCGAUUUAGAUGAAAGGAUCCUGCCUCAUCCCCCCCCCCCCUUUACCAGCACUUACUUAGCAGUUAAUCUCUGCCAGUUUAUUAUUCUAAUAGUUUUCUCCAUAUGGUAAAAUUAUGUCUUUUGUGCCAAGAUACUUGUGAGCUCUUCGUUGGGCAACUGGCGGAAGCUUCAGUGGUAGGCAUACCAAAAGAGCAUUUUUUUUUUCAGCCUAAUGAUUUGAGACUAGUCCGUGGAUGAGAAACAUCUUCUGUUUAGGUUUUGCUGGCAACACCCAGUAAAUGGAAAGCCCCAGUGAUAGCUCAAUGUUAUGGGAACAGAGUGCUUGACUUCCAAAUACCACAGUGAAACGCUCUAGUUAUAAACUACCCCAGGCUGCUACACCCUUGGAUUUGUUUACCUCUACAUAUACUCUGAACGUGUCUUCCUCUGCUGAUGAGAGCUGCAUCAUCAUCCCCAAGUUCAUUUCCUCUGCGAUCAGGAAGGCAGAGUCUCUACGAAGUGAUAUUUUGGAAGGGACGGCAAGUAAAUAGAGUGAAAGGUAUCUGAGCAAGCCAUCCAGAGCAUCAGGCAGCCUCCAAGGACAGGGAAGGCUGCCUCAAGUUUAUCCCUCUGUUUUAUUGACUGUGAGCAGUUGGCUUAAAAGCAGCCAUCCCAUGCUGCUGUUUGUGUGGGCUGCAAGUACAACAGGGCAGUAGAACCACUGGUUUCUUCACCAUAGAUGUCAUUUCUUGUGGCUUGUCACAGAGACAUUUUUUUAAAGAGUGUCUAAAAUUGUUUUAUAUAGAUGUUAUUCCAGUUGGCAUCAGUCCCUGCUGGUAAAGCCAGGAAUAUGCUCUAUCUGGGCCUAGAGACAGUUUCUUAAUCACAAGAAUCUUCUUUGAGACAAAUGGUAAUUGCAAUUUAGGAACAGAGACUUCUUAACUAAGUGGCAGAAUGGAAACCCAUGCUCAUGACUGCACUGCAAAAGGGAGGCAUCUGCCUUCUUACCCUAGGCUUCCUUCCACACACCUUCUAUACCUUGUUAUGGCAUGUUUUCUAUGUUGGGAUUUCUAAGGGUGGUGAAAUGAGUAGAGGAGAUGGUAUUAGUUUAGGAGAAAAAAAACUGUAUUAUCUCCAUCAUAGAUUUUUAUUUAUCAUUAUUAUUAUCACAACUAUUAAAUGAUUCAAUUAAGUUAUGGUUAUUAAAUAAUCAUGACUACUUUCCUCUUCAGAAAUGAAAAGUCAUAGAAGAUAUAACUUGCUUUCAAUAUGUUAAUAGAUCAGUCCUAGAGAUCAGGUAGGAAUAUAAUCAAGCAAGCCAGAAAUUGAUAUGCACUGGGGAGGGGAGGUUACAUAAAAAUCAUGAUGGUAAAUUCAGAACAGAAAUGUUUAUACUGAAUGAAUGACUCAUAGGCGGUAGCCUUACAGCGGAGUCUUAAAGGAUGUAGCAAGCUUUGGAGACAGAAAGACGUGGAGGGAGAACACUGAGAGUGAAGAGAGCAGCACACCAAGUGAUCACAGGCAGAUAUAACAGUUUCAAACUUCUUGACCUCUUCUUAUUACCUGGAAUGGACAACUGCUGACCCAUUUCCCCUUCUACACUGUGCACACCUGAUCUAAACCUCUGUAAGACCACACUCUCGAGAUUUCACAGCAGAAAAUAAAUGGUCCAGGUACACAUAUGCUUGCACGUGUGCACACACACUGACACAUACAUUCACACACACUCACAAAUACACAUACUCACAUACUCUCACACAUACUCACACGCACACAUGGACACACAUUCACACAAGUACAUAUUCAUAUACACUCACAUACAAACAUGCACACUCAUCCACACACGCACGUGUGUGUGCAUGCACACGCACACACACACACUUACCAUGUCUAUGUCUAUUUGACCCUUGGCAAACAUGACCCACUUCAGUGUAAUUCAAUCUGGGACCUCCAAAACUUCUAAAUUUGGGUUGACACUGUAAAUAACCAUUCAGAGAAAGUGAACCCUGACCCCACCUUCAGUCUAGACCAGAGUUUCUAUGGGCUUUGUGGCAGAGGAUAGUUCUGAUGAUAUUAAUAGUUUUGCUAAGGUUGGAGAGCCAAAACAAAUUCCCAUUUCUCUCCAAAGUCUCAUUUGUAAUAAUAUAUAUACUAAAAAUAUCCACACAAAAAAACCAAUAAAUAUAAACUACAUCUUCUUUUUUUUUUUUCCCGCACAACCAGAAAGUAUUGACUAUGUAAAAAUCCCUGAUCAGACUCAAUCUUUCAGGUCCUGGCUAAGUCAUAAGAAAACUGAAAGCCAGAAAGAUCACAAAACUUAUGCAUUAAGAAACAUACG